rnacentral:rRNA from 1 species
GGAACCUGUCCUGUAAUCGAUAAUCCACGUAAAUUUGACCUAAACUUGAAAUUCAGCUUGUAUAUCGCUGUCGUAAGAUUAUUUUAUGAGAAAUUUUUCAAUAAUAAAUUUUUAUUUAUGUCAAGUCAAGGUGCAGUAGAUGUUUAGGGUUGAGAUGGGUUACAAUAUGUGAACGUAAACGAAUAUGGAUUUGUAAUGUCUAUUKAAGGUGGAUUUAAUUGUAAUAUGAAAUUAUGUAUUUUAUAUGGAAAAGUACUAAUAUAUGC